rnacentral:misc_RNA from 1 species
GAUGAAGAACGCAGCGAAAUGCGAUAAGUAAUGUGAAUUGCAGAAUUCAGUGAAUCAUCGAAUCUUUGAACGCACUUUGCGCCCUUUGGCCAUUCCGAAGGGCAUGCCUGUUUGAGUAUCAUGAACACCUCAACUCCUCAUGGUCUUCUAUGAUGAGCUUGGACUUUGGGGGCUUGCUGGCCCAUUUGGUCAGCUCCUCUCAAAUGAAUCAGCCUACCAGUGUUUGGUGGCACCACAGGUGUGAUAACAAUCUACGCUUGAGGUUUUCCACCAGGAAACCUUCAGUAAUUGGGGUUCACUGGGGCUCACAAAUGUCUUUCUUCAGUGAGGACAGCUCUUUGAAUGUUUGAUCUCAAAUCAGGUAGGACUACCCGCUGAACUUAAGCAUAUCAAUAAGCGGAGGA